GCCGCGUUAGUGUUAAGGUAGCAUAGUAAUUAGUUUCUUAAUUGGGAAAUGGAAUGAAUGGUUUCACUAAAAUAUGAUAUUUAUUCUAAUUUGCGAAAUUUUAAUCUGAGUGAAAAUACUCAGAAGAUAUAUUUAGACGAGAAGACCCUAUGAAGCUGGUAGACUUCCAAUGUAAUUAUACGAUAGUUCAUGAGUUUAUUUUUUGGGGUAAAAUUUAAUAAUAGUAUUAAUAUUGGCUUACUGAAUAAUAUCCUCUUGGAAUUAUGAAAAA
rnacentral:rRNA from 1 species